rnacentral:lncRNA from 1 species
UGGAAUUUAUCUAUUCCCUAUAUAUCCUUUUUUGAUUUUUUCCAAAUGAAUAAAGCAGUUGGAAUUUUGGAAAUGACAAUGGGUAUAUUUAUUACAUUAACUAAAGCUUAUUUAUUUCUCUUCAUUUCUAUCACAAUAAGAUGGACUUUACCGAGGAUGAGAAUGGAUCAGUUAUUAAAUCUUGGAUGGAAAUUUCUUUUACCUAUUUCCCUGGGCAAUCUCUUAUUAACAACCUCUUCUCAACUUGUUUCACUAUAAAUAAGAUAAUACAAUAAUAGUAAGAAUAUUUUCAACACAAAAGCUCUCUCAAACAAGAGAAAGAAACAUAUCUUUUUCAUAGAUAUUUAGAAUGAAUAUGUUCCCGAUGGUAACUGGGUUCAUGAGUUAUGGUCAACAAACAAUACGUGCUACAAGGUACAUAGGUCAAAGUUUCAUAACUACCUUAUCCCACACAAAUCGUUUACCUAUAACGAUUCACUACCCUUAUGAAAAAUCAAUUACACCAGAGCGUUUCCGAGGGCGAAUCCACUUUGAAUUUGAUAAAUGUAUUGCUUGUGAAGUAUGUGUUCGCGUAUGUCCGAUAGAUCUACCCGUUGUGGAUUGGAGAUUUGAAAAGGAUAUUAAAAGAAAACAAUUGCUUAAUUAUAGUAUUGAUUUCGGAGUUUGUAUAUUUUGUGGCAAUUGUGUUGAGUACUGUCCAACAAGCUGUUUAUCAAUGACUGAAGAAUAUGAACUUUCUACCUAUGAUCGUCAUGAAUUGAAUUACAAUCAAAUUGCUUUAAGUCGGUUACCAAUCUCCAUAAUGGGAGAUUACACAAUUCAAACAAUUAGGAAUUCGUCUGAAAGUAACAUAUCUUUUUCAUAGAUAUUUAGAAUGAAUAUGUUCCCUAUGGUAACUGGGUUCAUGAGUUAUGGUCAACAAACAAUACGUGCUACAAGGUACAUAGGUCAAAGUUUCAUAACUACCUUAUCCCACACAAAUCGUUUACCUAUAACGAUUCACUACCCUUAUGAAAAAUCAAUUACACCAGAGCGUUUCCGAGGGCGAAUCCACUUUGAAUUUGAUAAAUGUAUUGCUUGUGAAGUAUGUGUUCGCGUAUGUCCGAUAGAUCUACCCGUUGUGGAUUGGAGAUUUGAAAAGGAUAUUAAAAGAAAACAAUUGCUUAAUUAUAGUAUUUAUUUCUCUUCAUUUCUAUCACAAUAAGAUGGACUUUACCGAGGAUGAGAAUGGAUCAGUUAUUAAAUCUUGGAUGGAAAUUUCUUUUACCUAUUUCCCUGGGCAAUCUCUUAUUAACAACCUCUUCUCAACUUGUUUCACUAUAAAUAAGAUAAUACAAUAAUAGUAAGAAUAUUUUCAACACAAAAGCUCUCUCAAACAAGAGAAAGAAACAUAUCUUUUUCAUAGAUAUUUAGAAUGAAUAUGUUCCCUAUGGUAACUGGGUUCAUGAGUUAUGGUCAACAAACAAUACGUGCUACAAGGUACAUAGGUCAAAGUUUCAUAACUACCUUAUCCCACACAAAUCGUUUACCUAUAACGAUUCACUACCCUUAUGAAAAAUCAAUUACACCAGAGCGUUUCCGAGGGCGAAUCCACUUUGAAUUUGAUAAAUGUAUUGCUUGUGAAGUAUGUGUUCGCGUAUGUCCGAUAGAUUUACCCGUUGUGGAUUGGAGAUUUGAAAAGGAUAUUAAAACAAAACAAUUGCUUAAUUAUAGUAUUGAUUUCGGAGUUUGUAUAUUUUGUGGCAAUUGUGUUGAGUACUGUCCAACAAGCUGUUUAUCAAUGACUGAAGAAUAUGAACUUUCUACCUAUGAUCGUCAUGAAUUGAAUUACAAUCAAAUUGCUUUAAGUCGGUUACCAAUCUCCAUAAUGGGAGAUUACACAAUUCAAACAAUUAGGAAUUCGUCUGAAAGUAAAAUAAACAAAGAAAAAUCUUCGAAUUCAAGAACGAUUACUGAUUACUAAACUUUGAUUUUGUCUUUUUGUUAUAAAAAUCUAAUAAUUCUUUAUUAAACUUUAAAAUUAAACUAUAAAGAAAAACUACUGCUUAUUGGAAAUUAUUUCUUAUUUUAAAUCAGACUAGAUUUUCGUGAUAUAAUAUAAUUUAUAACUAUACAGUUUAUACACAAAAAAAUACCCUAAUCCUUUUUUCCUUCCUUGAAUCCUUUAGUUUUAGUCAGUUCAUGAAAAAA